CAGAGCGCGCGCGCAGAUGCACCGAGUCUCGCGCGCGCCAUUUUAGCGCGUCUCCGGCAAGAUGGCGCUCUCGCUUUGUCUGCCCUGAUCGGCAUAAAACACUAUUUACUCUCAUUACACGCAUGCAAAUGUACCGGAUCGAAUGAAAAAACAGCUUUCCUCGCGGUGCCAAGCCGGUGACAUCUCAAAGACCCGCGCGUGCGCUGAGCACGGAGAUCUUAAGGUCUAGUAAGUUGAAUACAUUGGUGACCAAACUUCAUGAGUUUUUGGGUCCUUCUCCAGACGAAGAAAGCAUUCAUUCUCCAGAUAUUUCCAAUGGUAAAAUGGCUGCUAGUGACUUAAACAGCCCUGAUGAGAGAAUGAAUGAGUUUGUUGGACUGGUGCUUCAAAAGCUUCUUCAGGAAGUUUAUAAAAGACAAGGAGAUUAAAUUGAUACCCAGCACGUCCAUUUUAUUCCAUAACCUGAAAGCUUAUCACACCGAUAAUUAUCAUUUCUAUAUUUGGGUUAAAAU